AGUAAUGACAGACCCAUUUCCUCAUCGGAGCACCUAUGUGGUGUAUUUUCUUUGUGGGGUAGAUAUUCCAGAUCCGCCAUAUUUUUAUAGACAUCGAUGGCCUAUUCAUGGUGUUCCGUCCAAGUAAGUGAAAUAUAGAUCCUGUUGGAAACAAAUCUGUUAAAGGGACUCUCUGGGAACCAAUACAGCUAUAAUAUAUUUAAUAGAUUUUGGCCUCAUUAAUAUGCUGUAUUUCUUACAUGUUCAAUUCUUUAGAGAUCGUGCAAAGAAAAAAAAAUGUUUUUCAG